UCACUCUGGUGCCCUUCCUAACAACUGUCCCAUCGGGCAAUACAUCAUCCUCCGUUGCUUCUUUGGUAUCUGUAGGAACCGGUGGGUAAAGUCUCAUGGAUUCGCAAAGCGAAGCAUGCGUGUAAACCAUGUCCUUCACUUCAUCGUAUACCGGAGAUUCAGACUUUUCUUUGAUUUCUUCUACGAUUUUCUUCUCAACAUUUGGGUUGCCAAAGACUAACCAGAAGAACCAUGUUAAUGCGGCAGAGGUUGUGUCUCGGCCUGCCAAGAUAAAGCUGAUAACAAUGUCGGUGACGAAAUCUUCAUCGGAAUGGCCUGAGCUUAAGAAUCGUGACAAGAGAUCAACUGAAUCAAUCGAUGAUUUCUCUUCCAGUUCUGCCUUCUUUUCUUUGAUGAUCUGCUUAGCAAAUUCCCGAAUUUGAUCAACAGCUUCUUUAAGUUUCCUCUCUGAUCCAACAUUCAAAGCCCGUUUAACCUUCCAAAUCAAGGGAACAGGGGUAUUGAAUCUUUCACUACUGAUUCGCGUGGCAUCGUCAAAAGCAACAGCAAAUUCGGCCUCCGGCAGGGAUGGCAGCAAGUACGCAGGAUCAUACCCGAAUGCUAUCUUGCAGAUGUUAUCAAAAGCAAAUCUUUGAAGAAUGUCUUGAAAAUCAAGAACAGUUUUAUUAUCGGCGGCGGCGGCCAGAAUUGGAACGAGACGUUCGGAGAGCUCCGUGUCCACCACGGUCUCAACAAAUUUACGGAGCGACUUGGUGUUAAAUUCGUGACUGGAGACUUGCCUUUGAAACUUCCAGUUGUCACCAUCCGUAUUGAAAAUGCCUUCGCCAAGGAAAUCCGACAGAGUUCUGCGGAAAACAUCGCCCUUUCCAUAAACAUGGAAAUGGGACUUGAGAAUGUGUUGCACUGUGGAGGGGUUUGCCGUCAAGACCAAGCGGUGGCCCAGAGGACGGUGAAGGGUAAAGGUUAAAUUGGGGGAGCUUCUCACAAUGUCGGAUGUCCAUUGAACUCGCCUCUCGUUAUUUGCCAAUAUUGAAAAGUAUGAGCCGAUCAACGGAUAUGAUCUUGGGAUUUUACUGGACUUAGAUGCAAAGAGGUUUCUCACGAAAGUUUUGAAGUACACGAAGAAAAAGCAGAACAGAGGAAUGAGGCAUAAGAGAAGAGAUGCUGAGAGCUCAAAGGUCGACAUUCUAAAGAUGCAGUAGAAAAUCAAUCUUGAAAUCGUUGGAUUAUGCAAUUGGAGUUGGGAAUGAGGAGCUGCCACCCAGUGGGGGUACAAUUUAUAGUGGUUGCGUCGUCCGCUUGCUGCUCGGGGCUUACCUUUCUGGAUCGUUUAUUUUCCCCCGUCCUUUCGUCAAUACUUCGAAAAUUCUUUUGUAACCAGACUAAUAAGACAGUGCGAUUCGAUCCUUCCUCACAGGAUUCUCAAAGUCGAUUACACGUCAUUGUAGUUUUAAGCCUAUGUUUUUUUUUAAUAUUUAAAAAAAGUGGUUUGUGCCCUUAGCAUAAAAACAUGAGUGUCGAGGUAUAACUUUAUAGUAUCGUUUUGUUAUAGAGAAAUUAUUUGGUGGAGUAACAAACAUAAUUUUUUAGAAGUUAGAAAUAAUUUUUUAGAAGUUAGAUGCUGGGUCAAUGCAGCCUAGAUUUUGCACUCGAAAAAGUUAAUUUAAUUUAGUUGAAUGACAAUGCGACUAUUUUCUAACAUAAAUGAAAAUGUGUUUAUGAUGCAAGCGAAAUAUAAUUUAAAAUAAUAAUGGUAUCCAAACAAACCCAUUAAUUUAUUGUUUUCAAAAUGUCGCGUUGAAGGAGGAAUUCAGAUAAUUGAUGUGUUUGGAAUAAAUAUGCAGGCGUAGAGAUCCCCUGCCUCCUCUCUAUUUCUUUAAGUUUCAUCCUCCCCCGUCGAAAAAAAAUUUAAAAAUAAAAAAGGGAAACACCGAGGAGAAUAAAUUUCCCCAAAGCUUGGACAUCUUUUGGAUUAACUUCAAGUUUAGAAACUUUAUCUCUUAAUUAACCUUUAAAGAACUUUAAACCUCGUCUAAAUAUGUUGAAUAAGUAUUUACUAUACUGUAAUUUAUAAAUAGAUGGCGUGUGUGUGGAUAGUGGAUUACCUGUAAGUUGUAACCGUAAUCUGAACAGGGAAGAAGAUGAGAUGGCGCAAGUGCCGUCGUCAGCCAUACUUUUUUCUGAUUCGUAUACUAUACUGGUCAGUACCUUAGUGGGGUGUUUUGAGGAAAUGUUCAAGAACUAAACUUCUAGGUUAAGGUUCAAACACGUGUACCUGCAGUCAGAUUUGAAACUAGUGCACCUCUUGACUUUAUUUUAGAAUUGGGAUUUUCUCCCUUAAUUCAGUUAGACCCUCCCCUCAUAUGGAUUAGAGCGGUCUCUAAUGUAGGAUGGUGAAACGGGUUGAUCGAGUAAAAAAAAAAAAAAAAAUUGAUCAAGUCUAAGAUGUUUACGUGCCCAACUACGCUGGUCAAUUCGUCAUUGAUGACGUUGGAUCCUGAAGCACAAAAGGUUAUCCAUUUCUACUUAUUACGGCUACUGAUUACUGAUUAAUAGUACACUGCUUAAUGCGUUACCGUAUUCGAAUUGAAUUUAAAAAUUUUGAAAUCGAUAAUUCGGAAUUCAAAAUUGAAAUCGUAUUUUUUGAUUUCGAAUUAUGCAAAUUUGGUUUGAAUUCGAUAAUGACAUUUUUCAAAUCGAAAUUUCUACUUCAAUUUCAAAUUCAUUUUGCAUAUAUAUAUAUAUAUAUAUAUAUAUAUAUAUAUAUAUAUAUAUAUAUAUAAUAUUCACAUAUAUAUAUGUAAUAUAACAUUUAUAUUAUAAUAAUAAUUUUUAUAUUCUUGAAUUUGAUGAUUCAAAAUUCCAAUUUCGAUUCCAAUUUCGUUUUUCAUAUAUAUAUAUAUAUAAUAUAAUAUUGAUAUAAUAAUAAUAAUUUUUAUAUUCCUGAAUUCGGUGAAAUCGAAAUUUAUCGAAUUUCGAAUUGAAUUCUGAACAAAUUCAAAUUCGGAGUUGAUGAAUUCGAAAUUUCGAAUUUGGUCAGAAAUUCCGAUGCCAAAUUUCUGAAAAAAUUUCGAUUUCAAAGUUCCGAAUUACCGAUUUCGAUUUCGAUUCACAACCCUAGCUAAUGGGUCCGCGGCUGGUUCUAUAAUUAGUAUAGUUUGUCCCCAAUCCGACGUUGUCUAAAAAGUAAAACCACUUGUGCGUUAUCUCCAUUGGCGUCCCAAAAAAAAAAUAAAAUUAAUUUGGCCAACUUUUGAGUGAUUAAUUGUUUUUCGUCAUACUAAAGUAUUACUACCCAAAUAAGUAGCCAAGUUGACUCUUGCUUAAUUGGCACUGCCAGAUUCAUCAUCUAGGGUUUACGCACGUGAAGUUUACAAAGUUAUACUAAUUCAAUUUCUAUCUUUAUUUAAGAGAGUACCAAAAAAAUAAAAAUAAAAAUCUCAGGAUGAUGCAAAGGAGAAAGAGAGGGGACUUGAAAUCGGAACAGGGCACCUUCACAAUUAAUUAAAUUGAGACAUUCCCUUACUGAGCUUAAAGGUUGCAUGGAAUAUGCACAGAUGCGACUCAUCUCUAAACUGGUAAGCAAGGGAUUCAAACCCAAGCAAAUUCUGCUACUACCCCAUUUCAAUUCAAUGUGGUUUUUCGUAGUUUAUUGUUAAUAAUCCGACAGCUUAGCCGUAAUCCAUUGAUCCGAAGAAUCGUUUCGCUCUCACCCAAACCCAGUCAUGAUAGAAGCGGCAAAAGUGGCCGACGCCCAAGAACUUUUAGAUGAGAUGUACUCGACAGCUAAGAAAGAAAAGGUUGCUGAAGCAUGAGAGUGACCAGAGCUGAAGCAUCGCGACAAGAGAUCAACCGAUUCUAAUUCUGAUUUUUCUUUCAGUUCUUGCUUCUUUUCUUUAGAAAAAUCACGAACUUGAUGGACAGCUGACCUGAGUUUCUUCUCUGAGCCAAUAUUUAAGGCCCGCUUGACUUUCCAAAUCAAAGGAAAGGGCGAACUGAAUAUGUGAGCCAAUAUUCAAUGCUGCACAUCUGCAUUAGAUAUGGCAAGGCAAAUUAAUUAAGCAUAAGAAAUUACCUCAAAUCCUUAACCUUUGGAACAAUUUCAAAAUAGCAACUGUUCAAUUAUAACUUCUAAUCAACGGAAUGUAUACUGAAUUCCUUAUCGUACGGCAGAAGUAACAUUACAAGUAGCAUUUUUUCCUGAGAAAUUAGUCCUUGCUAUUUUUGGGGGAAAAAUUUUUCAGUGGCGUUGACCAGAUUUCACUAAUUCUUUGCCGGUCGGUUUUCUAAGUAAGCUUGGACCGGACACCCAACCGAUUUUCGGUUCAUCAGUUGAACCAGCCAGCAUCUGCAUGGACCGGACAUUGUUCCAUUCCUUCUCACCCGUACAAUAAUAUGCCCUAAUUUGUUAGUAAGCACCAGAUCAGCUCUCAUUUCUUGAGCAAACUCCAACAUGAUACCUACAGCUACUCUCAAUACAUAUGCACAUAAGCACAUACGGAAGCACCAGAACUUGCAUCGUAUCAAUCAAUCUCUUUCUACCCCCACUGCCCAGAACAAAAUCAAGACCACGAUGAAGGCCACGGAGCAGAUAAAGAUCAUUGUAGAAUUUCGUGCAUGGCAUCCAGGUAACAAAAGGAAGCUAACAGUUGGAGCUUCUCAGAAUGGAGAAACCAACACAAUGUGCAUUGAAUGAAUCAGCCCGACUUCAAAACUACUCCGAGGACUUUUCCGCAUUUACAUAGUGCCCGAACUUUGCACUUGGGAUCCUCGGUGACAUGUUUUCUAUGCCAACCCAAUGCCACCAAUAGUGUUGCGCCAAGUGUCAUGUUAUUAUUUACACUUGUGUUAAACCAAGCCAACUUGAAUUAUUAGAAAAUUAAAGUGUAAAUAAUAACAUGACACUUGGCGCAACACUAUUGGUGGCAUUGAGUUGGCAUAGAAAACAUGUCACCAAGUGCGAACUUUGGGAGGCAAUUAAAAACCAUAUACACAGUAAAAUUGAUCAAUAUCCAAAUUCUCUUUAUUUUAUAUAAUUAAGGCUAAUAGUCUUUUGAAAAAGAAAAGAAGGCUAAUAGUCACAUACUAAUAACUCUAAAAAAAAGAAGGAAAAAAACCGUUGAAAGCCAUUAAUUUACGCAUUAAUUAAAGUACUAGUAAGUUACACUACACAAUACAGAAAUAAGUAAUCUGAUAGGUUCAGUCAAUUGAAAAGUCAAAUGACUAUGACCGUAACAACACGUUCAACAGUAUCCUACCCUCCCAAAAAUUCUCACUGGGAAACCACCCUUCAUCUUGGAGGUCAAGUACGCCAUGAACACCGGCUCCACUCCUUCCUCUAUUGCCGGCACCACCUUAAAUCGCCGCAGGACACCAGCAACCACCCUCUUCAUCUGCAGGAAAGCCAUCUCCUUUCCAAGACAAAUCCUUGGGCCAGCCUGAAAUACAGGGUAGGUGUACGAGUCUUUACCAAUAAAGUUCCACAUUCCGCUCAGCCCAUCCUUCUCCAACCAUCUCUCUGGCUUGAAUUCUGCCCAAUCCGAACCCCACACGUCCUCUAUCCUACCCAUUGCAUAGGGAUGAUAAGCCACCCUGGUGCCCUUCCUAACAACUGUCCCAUCGGGCAAUACAUCAUCCUCCGUUGCUUCUUUGGUAUCUGUAGGAACCGGUGGGUAAAGUCUCAUGGAUUCGCAAAGCGAAGCAUGCGUGUAAACCAUGUCCUUCACUUCAUCGUAUACCGGAGAUUCAGACUUUUCUUUGAUUUCUUCUACGAUUUUCUUCUCAACAUUUGGGUUGCCAAAGACUAACCAGAAGAACCAUGUUAAUGCGGCAGAGGUUGUGUCUCGGCCUGCCAAGAUAAAGCUGAUAACAAUGUCGGUGACGAAAUCUUCAUCGUAAUUGCCUGAGCUUAAGAAUCGUGACAAGAGAUCAACUGAAUCAAUUGAUGAUUUUUCUUCCAGUUCUGCCUUCUUUUCUUUGAUGAUCUGCUUAGCAAAUUCCCGAACUUGAUGAACAGCUUCCUUAAGUUUCCUCUCUGAUCCAACAUUCA
rnacentral:lncRNA from 1 species